UACGUAGGGUGCGAGCGUUAAUCGGAAUUACUGGGCGUAAAGCGUGCGCAGGCGGUUGUGCAAGACAGAUGUGAAAUCCCCGGGCUUAACCUGGGAACUGCAUUUGUGACUGCACAGCUAGAGUACGGCAGAGGGGGAUGGAAUUCCGCGUGUAGCAGUGAAAUGCGUAGAUAUGCGGAGGAACACCGAUGGCGAAGGCAAUCCCCUGGGCCUGUACUGACGCUCAUGCACGAAAGCGUGGGGAGCAAACAGG
rnacentral:rRNA from 1 species